AUGGAGCCGACCUUGAAAUACCACCCUUUAAUGUUUGAUGUUCUAACGUUGACCCGUAAUCCGGGUUGCGGACAGUGUCUGGUGGGUAGUUUGACUGGGGCGGUCUCCUCCUAAAGAGUAACGGAGGAGCACGAAGGUUGGCUAAUCCUGGUCGGACAUCAGGAGGUUAGUGCAAUGGCAUAAGCCAGCUUGACUGCGAGCGUGACGGCGCGAGCAGGUGCGAAAGCAGGUCAUAGUGAUCCGGUGGUUCUGAAUGGAAGGGCCAUCGCUCAACGGAUAAAAGGUACUCCGGGGAUAACAGGCUGAUACCGCCCAAGAGUUCAUAUCGACGGCGGUGUUUGGCACCUCGAUGUCGGCUCAUCACAUCCUGGGGCUGAAGUAGGUCCCAAGGGUAUGGCUGUUCGCCAUUUAAAGUGGUACGCGAGCUGGGUUUAGAACGUCGUGAGACAGUUCGGUCCCUAUCUGCCGUGGGCGCUGGAGAACUGAGGGGGGCUGCUCCUAGUACGAGAGGACCGGAGUGGACGCAUCACUGGUGUUCGGGUUGUCAUGCCAAUGGCACUGCCCGGUAGCUAAAUGCGGAAGAGAUAAGUGCUGAAAGCAUCUAAGCACGAAACUUGCCCCGAGAUGAGUUCUCCCUGACUCCUUGAGAGUCCUGAAGGAACGUUGAAGACGACGACGUUGAUAGGCCGGGUGUGUAAGCGCAGCGA
rnacentral:rRNA from 1 species